UACGUAGGGGGGCGAGCGUUGUCCGGAUUUAUUGGGCGUAAAGAGCGUGUAGGCGGCCAGGUAGGUCUGCUGUGAAAACUCGAGGCUCAACCUCGAGACGUCGGUUGAAACCGUAUGGCUAGAGUCCGGAAGAGGAGAGUGGAAUUCCCGGUGUAGCGGUGAAAUGCGUAGAGAUCGGGAGGAACACCAGUGGCGAAGGGCGGGUCUCUGGACAGUUCCUGACGCUGAGGCACGAAGGUCAGGGGAGCAAACGGG
rnacentral:rRNA from 1 species